CGCUUACUCGGGGAUAGCCUUUCGAAAGAAAGAUUAAUACCCGAUGGCAUAAUAGAACCGCAUGGUUUGAUUAUUAAAGAAUUUCGGUUAUCGAUGGGGAUGCGUUCCAUUAGGCAGUUGGUGGGGUAACGGCCCACCAAACCUUCGAUGGAUAGGGGUUCUGAGAGGAAGGUCCCCCACAUUGGAACUGAGACACGGUCCAA
rnacentral:rRNA from 1 species